GCCGGGGUGCCCGAGCCAGGCCCAAGGGGCCGGCCUGGAGAGCCGGUGGGCGCACAGCCCGCGCGGGUUCAAGUCCCGCCCCCGGCGCCA
rnacentral:tRNA from 1 species